rnacentral:rRNA from 1 species
UACGUAGGUGGCGAGCGUUGUCCGGAUUUAUUGGGCGUAAGGCGCGCGCAGGUGGUGCGGUAAGUCCUGUGUGAAAUCUCCCGGCUCAACUGGGAGGGUGCGGAGGAGACUGCCGGACUGGAGGCACUCAGAGGCCGGUGGAAUUCCCGGUGUAGUGGUGAAAUGCGUAGAGAUCGGGAGGAACACCAGUGGCGAAGGCGGCCGGCUGGGGGUGACCUGACGCUGAGGCGCGAAAGCGUGGGGAGCGAACCGG